UGCGGCAUUGCCGAUUCCUCAGUCAAACUCCCCAGGCAGACCAAGCUCUGCAAGGCCAGGAUGGGGUUUGUGUUCAUGCACUAUUGUGUCCCCUUCGCCGAGCAUAGCGGGCCUCAUGUAACAAGGACUCAGAAGGAAUUUGUUGAAUAAAUAAACGUGAGGACCUGCACGUUCUUCAUGAAGUGGGUACAUUGUAGUUGGCAGUGCGAGUGGGCAGAAUCACAUCUUGUCCAUCCAGUUCUCUGCUGAUGACCAUUUAGGCUGUUUCCAGUCCUUUGAUAGUUCACAUCAGGCUGCAAUGGAUGUUUUCCACGCGUGUCUGGAGUGUCUGCAGGACGGACUGCCAGCAAUAGAACCACUGGGCCAUCCGAGUGUCCCUGAGGCUGAGAUUGGGAGUUAAAGGGCCAGUCCCUCCUUCCCUGGGCAGCAGGGCUGAUGGCGAGUCCCCUGCCUGAGUUCCUGCUGUGGGCACAGAAAGAGCAAGGGAAGUGAGUCUGCAAUGGGGCAGAGAAGCAGGAAAUAGCUUAGUGCAGCACUAAGCCAGAGAGAGAGAGUUGGGGGGCCUCGGUGGCAUUCAGGGUUUCAGGCCCUGGGCUCCUGCAGUCCCACUGUGUGUGUGUCCCCAUCUUGCUAGACCCCUCAUAAGGUCCUCCUUCACCUGAAAUUGGUGCCACCAGAUUUCUUAUACCUGUGACCAAAAGUUCCCAGCUGAUAUAAAUUCCAAUUCUUGUCAUUGUCUGAAUAUGCGGCUUAAAAAAAAUUUUUUUUCCCCUUUUUUCUGUACUUGCAGCAUGUGGAAGUUCCUGGGCCAGGGAUUGAAACUGUGCCACAGCAGCGACCCAAGCGGCUGCAGGGACGCUGAAUCCUUAACCCACUGUACCACAAGGAAACUCCAUAAAUUUUUUUUUUUUUUCUGUUUUUCUAGGCAUGUGAGGUUCCCAGGCUAGGGGUCCAAUCAGGGCUGUAGCCACUGGCCUACGCCACAGCCACAGCAAUGCCAGAUCCAGUUGUGUCUGCAAACUACACCAUAGCUCACAGCAACACUGGAUCGUUAACUUGCUGAGCAAGGCCAGGGAUCGAACCCACAACCUCAUGGUUUCUAGCUGGAUUUGUUUCCACUGCACAACAGGAAUUCCAAAAUUUUGUAUUGAAGUAUAGUUGAUUGAAUAUGUGGCUGUGACAUUCCUUCCUUGGGAAUUGAGUGUGUGUGUGUAUCUGUGAUAAACUUUUGCAUAUACCUCAGAGGUCUCUGAAAAGCCCACACCUUCUCUGCAGGUCACAAUGUUAUGUUUAUGCUGACCCUGAACAUAUCAGCGCUUUCUCAGCUGUGGCUCUGGUCAGGGGUGGGGAGAGGGUGACAGGGAUAAAUCCGUGGAGCAGCUCAGACAUUGGGCCAAGUGCUGUGGGCAGGGCCUGUGAUGUCCGUGGACCCAGCAGGGUGGGCUGGGGGGUGCUGGGGUUUGGGGCUAAGGGUUUGUGGUGGGGGCUGUCAGCAGCCUGGUCCAGGAGACCCUUCUGUGUCCCCUGCCCCUCCCAGCGUUGGUGCAGGGGCAGCAAAAGCUCCAGUGAUGCGUCUGAGUCGCCAAGGGCCAUGCGGGGGAUCUCCAGCCUCACCAUCAUCCCACAUGCUGGGCCCUGGUCACAGAUGGGGCACACAGUUGCCUCCACAGUGCCUGGCAAGUGAGACCACUUGGGAAACAGGGAGUUGAUGCAUACUGAUGACUCUCACCUCACUAAUUAUUUUUUUGGCCACACGCACAGCAUACAGAAGUUUCCGAGCAAAGGAGUGAACCUAUGCCACAGCAGUGACAAUGCUAGGUCCUUAACCACUAAGCCACCAGGGAACUCAGUCUUUUUUGACCUGGAAAAGCAAUGAUCGAGUCUCCCAGUCUCCAAGCCCUUCAGCGGCUUCCCAUUGUUUCCGGCACAAAAAUCCAAUCUCCUCAACACGGGGGUGAGAGGUUCUGCCCUCCCCACCCCUCGCACGUGCUCUGCUCCGCCUGAGGGGUGAUUCUCUCAAUUCCUGUCCUUGGACCAGCAGAGAGAGGACAAUGUCUCUGAGGAAGAGACCAAGGGCCAGGAUGGAAGAGGGACUGGGGGGCUGAUGCUGGGAGGGCAGGAGGAGCGGAGGAACCAGGAUGUGCACGGGGCGCAUCCAUGGGAUGUGAGAUAGGGAGGCCCUUUCUGUUCUCCCUUUAUCCUUUCACUGGGGUGAGAAGCACCAUGCACAUCGGCUGUGCACAUAUCUCUGUGUGUCUGUGUAAGCGUGUGGCUGUGCAUCUCUGUGUCUAUACACACCUGAGUCUCUGUGCGUGCUUAUAUGUGUAUAUGCUGUGUGUUUGUGUGUGUGUUUGUAUCUUCGUCUUUGGGUCUGGAUGUGUAUGUAUUCCUGAGAAUGGGCAUGUGUGUGUCUGUGGUAGGCACGUCUACCUACGUCUGUGCCCAUGUGCAUGUGUGGGUAUGUGUUGUGGCUGAGGUCCCAGAAGGCCUGUGUCACCCUGAUGGAGCGUGGAGGACAAAGGCCGGCAGGUUGUGGGCGGCCCUGAGAGGUGUGUGAGACGUUUGUGUAAGGAAAGCUCAGUGAGUCCUCUCCUCCUGCAGCAGAGGGGUGGGUUGGAGGAGGUCGGGUUUGCCGGGGGCGGGAGACAGAAGGAGCAAUGGCCAGGGUCAUAAGGUGGUUCAGGAUGCACCCCAAAACUAACCUUGCCAAAGAGGGGAGAGCAGUCAUCAGGGGUGAAGGCAGCCAGCUCCCACCCCCAGCCCCCCGCCCAAUACCUGGCUCUUCCUCACUCUGUGUCCUUUGAGCUGACCACGCGUGCUUUCCAGGGCUUCCGGGAACCAUCUGGCUCCGUUAGGCCCAUGAAGGGUAACAGGCACUGGGGAUGUUUGGGGGUUUGGUGUUAGGGCAGGUGUAUCCUCUGCAGCUGGUGGGCUUGAAACUGACCUCCAGGAUCCGUCCAGAGUCAGAGCUGGAGAGGCAGGUCCCCGUAACCCCACGGCUACAAGAGACAGAGGGCCAAAGCCCGACCACCGCAGUCUCCGUGGGUCUAGUGGAU
rnacentral:lncRNA from 1 species